rnacentral:ncRNA from 1 species
AAACGUUGAUAUUAAGCGCUGUUUCAAGAUGCAGUGUUUAAUGGAGUUUUGUAAGGGUUGUAUAUUUACCACAACUUGAAUAGGAAUUUUCCGAAAGAAAAUAUGCAAA